rnacentral:rRNA from 1 species
ACGGGUGAGUAACGCGUGGGAAUCUACCGUGCCCUGCGGAAUAGCUCCGGGAAACUGGAAUUAAUACCGCAUACGCCCUACGGGGGAAAGAUUUAUCGGGGUAUGAUGAGCCCGCGUUGGAUUAGCUAGUUGGUGGGGUAAAGGCCUACCAAGGCGACGAUCCAUAGCUGGUCUGAGAGGAUGAUCAGCCACAUUGGGACUGAGACACGGCCCAAACUCCUACGGGAGGCAGCAGUGGGGAAUAUUGGACAAUGGGCGCAAGCCUGAUCCAGCCAUGCCGCGUGAGUGGUGAAGGCCUUAGGGUUGUAAAGCUCUUUCACCGGAGAAGAUAAUGACGGUAUCCGGAGAAGAAGCCCCGGCUAACUUCGUGCCAGCAGCCGCGGUAAUACGAAGGGGGCUAGCGUUGUUCGGAAUUACUGGGCGUAAAGCGCACGUAGGCGGAUAUUUAAGUCAGGGGUGAAAUCCCAGAGCUCAACUCUGGAACUGCCUUUGAUACUGGGUAUCUUGAGUAUGGAAGAGGUAAGUGGAACUCCGAGUGUAGAGGUGAAAUUCGUAGA